UUGUGGUCCCCUAACUCAACUGUGACACCCUCUGCUUGGGCACUGGGUCAGAGCCAUAGGGUGAGGGCUCAGUCUUCAAGACUGCCCCCCCAGGUUGUCACCUGUGCUUCUGACCCACUGGCUAUAAACCGGAGCUCUACCUAUAAGCCACUAUCCCUAUGCAGGUUCAGUGGGUUUGCUAGAGCCACUCACAGAACUGUCACCCCCAGGUUUACUGAUCUGUGACAGAGGAUGUUACAAAUACUGCAGAUGGACGAAGGCAAGCGUUGCCUAGUGCAAGGAAGGGGUGCAGAGCCUCCAUGCCCUGUCCAAGCCCACCAUCCCGGAGGCACCUCCUCAAUUCAGGGGUCUGGAAGCACCCCAAGCCCUGCUAUUCUGGUUCCUACGGAGGCCUCAUGACAGAGGCAGGGCUGCUUAUGUCACUGGCCAUUGUGACCAGUUUAACCCUUGGUCUCUCUACCUCCCUGGAAGUUGGGGGAUGGGUCUGAGAGUCCCAACCUUCUAAUCGUUCCUUGGUCUUUCCUAUAACCACCCCCAUCCCAAAGCCAUCUGUGUCUCCAGCUACCACUCACACGUAAGGUACUGACAUUUCUGCCAGUCCAGGGAUUGUAGGAGCUUUAGGAAAUGCGGACUAAACAUACACUUGUCAGUAUCACAGGAUGCCAUCCAUUCACGUUUCUCUGCUAAAUAGUACUCCAGGUAUGAACAGAUAUCAGCAUCCCGAAACUUCCUUGUUAAUAGACAUUUGCACUGUUUCCAGUUUCUUGCUACUAUGAACAGGGCCACUGGGAAAUUUCCGUGUGUUCCUGCCUCGGUGAGCGCCUCAGGGCAUGAACCACGUGUGUCACCAGUUCAUCCAGGCAGCAUCCCAGGUCCUCCCUCCAUCCCAGGCAUUGUCCUUUGGUCCAUUGAUGUAAGAGUACAGGUGAUGAAACUCAUCUCAAGUCCCCAAGAAUUGGCACAGCUCCCUGAUCUGGGGGUGAGUGAACACCUGAUUUCUUUACAAUUCAGUGUUGCUGCCCCUACCCUGCAACUUUGACAAAUGGAGUGAGUGCUCUGUCACUAUAUGAGAAGCUGUGGAGAGGGCAGAGACGGGGCAGCUCCUCUGCUCU
rnacentral:lncRNA from 1 species